CCUCCAAAUCCUUUUACAAUUUGCUUGGGAUACCCUGCAUCUUUUAUAUCAUUCGUGAAACGCCAGUACUGAGAAUCCUGACAAUUUAAAAGAGAAAAUGAUGUUAACAGCUUUGAAAAAGAUGAGAAGACAUACAGCAUUUUUUGAUCAUUAGGAACCAGAAGAAAGGAAGAGGAAUUUCUGAAAGAUAAGAAAACAGAGAGCAAUGGGGACUCUCUAGUACAGAAGAACUGUGAUAAAUCCUGCUACUCCCACCAGAUAUCUGCUCGGAACUUUAUUGCUAUAGACCCCAUGAGCUAACCACUGUUCUUGUUUCUCCUCCCACCUAACAAGAACAUCAACUAUCUCAAACAGCUCUGCCAUGUAGUAGCUAAUGCUCUUGGGCAAAACAGUGAGUUACCUUCUUGCACUCAAGUUUUCUCACCCACAUUCAGAAGCACUUGGACAGCUGUGAUUCCUUCAAUGCUUAAAAUGCUUUGAUUUUUAGGUAGUUGCCUAUAAGCCAUAUUUAUAUUGAAACAACUAAGUGGUGAGUCUCAAAAUAACUUAAAAAAUGAAGUCUUGAAGCUCUGAGUGGUUCCAUUAUUUGGGAGCCUGAUUGAUGAUUGCUGUAAAUGAAGUUGCUUGGCAUUGCCUUCAUCACUUUUUUUCAAUGAGUUCUUCCUAAACCUCAGAUAAUCUGACCCAACACUUCAUAGCGUAAAGUACUGUCUUUAGUAAA